CGAACGCUGGCGGCAUGCCUAACACAUGCAAGUCGAACGAAGGCUUCGGCCUUAGUGGCGCACGGGUACGUAACACGUGGGAAUCUGCCCUUUGCUUCGGAAUAACAGUUAGAAAUGACUGCUAAUACCGAAUAAUGUCGCAAGACCAAAGAUUUAUCGGCAAAGGAUGAGCCCGCGUAGGAUUAGCUAGUUGGUGGGGUAAAGGCUCACCAAGGCGACGAUCCUUAGCUGGUCUGAGAGGAUGAUCAGCCACACUGGGACUGAGACACGGCCCAGACUCCUACGGGAGGCAGCAGUGGGGAAUAUUGGACAAUGGGCGAAAGCCUGAUCCAGCAAUGCCGCGUGAGUGAUGAAGGCCUUAGGGUUGUAAAGCUCUUUUACCAGGGAUGAUAAUGACAGUACCUGGAGAAUAAGCUCCGGCUAACUCCGUGCCAGCAG
rnacentral:rRNA from 1 species